rnacentral:rRNA from 1 species
UGUCAAGUCAGCAUGACCUUUAUAUCCAGGGCUACACACACGCUACAAUGGUCUGUACAAUGGGUAGCCAAGCCGCGAGGCGGAGCCAAUCCUGAAAGCAGGCCUCAGUUCAGAUUGCAGUCUGCAACUCGACUGCAUGAAGCCGGAGUUGCUAGUAACCGCAGGUCAGCAAUACUGCGGUGAAUACGUUCCCGGGUCUU